UCCAGAACAGGAUGGCAACCGGCGGCUCGUCUUCGUCCGGGAUGGUGUCCAGCCCGGCCAGCGGCGCGUUCAGAUCAUGUUUCAGGAUC
rnacentral:tRNA from 1 species